GAUGAAGAACGUAGCGAAAUGCGAUAAGUAGUGUGAAUUGCAGAAUUCAGUGAAUCAUCGAAUGUUUGAACGCACAUUGCGCCCUUUGGUAUUCCAAAGGGCAUGCCUGUUCGAGCGUCAUUUGUACCCUCAAGCUUUGCUUGGUGUUGGGCGUCUUGUCUCUAGCUUUGCUGGAGACUCGCCUUAAAGUAAUUGGCAGCCGGCCUACUGGUUUCGGAGCGCAGCACAAGUCACACUCUCUAUCAGCAAAGGUCUAGCAUCCAUUAAGCCUUUUUUUCAACUUUUGACCUCGGAUCAGGUAGGGAUACCCGCUGAACUUAAGCAUAUCAAUAAGCGGAGGA
rnacentral:misc_RNA from 1 species